CCUACGGUGGGCUGCAGUGGGGGAUAUUGCACAAUGGGGGAAACCCUGAUGCAGCGACGCCGCGUGAGUGAAGAAGGAUUUCGGUAUGUAAAGCUCUAUCAGCAGGGAAGAAAAUGACAGUACCUGACCACAAAGCCCCGGCUAACUACGGGCCAGCAGCCGCGGUAAUACGUCGGGGGCAAGCUUUAUCCGGAUUUACUGGGUGUAAAGGGAGCGUAGACGGUUAUGUAAGUCUGGAGUGAAAGCCCGGUGCCCAACCCCGGGACUGCUUUGGAUACUGGCUAACUGGAGUACAGGAGGGGCAGGCGGAAUUCCUGGUGUAGCGGUGAAAUGCGUAGAUAUCAGGAGGAACACCGGCGGCGAAGGCGGCCUGCUGGACUGAAACUGACGUUGAGGCGCGAAAGCGUGGGGAGCAAACAGGAUUAGAUACCCGGGUAGUC
rnacentral:rRNA from 1 species